UGGUUGGCCAAGAAUCUAUGUAAUCAUUUCAUUAGGAUUAAGUAGGGUGGCCAUGUGAUUUCCAAGAAACCUUAUAUCAUCACAACCCACACAAGUUCAUUUCACCUCCCUCAAACUCACUCUCUCUCUUCCCUCUCGGCUGCCCACAUCCGCCACCACCCUCACCACUUCAACAUCCACCCAUUUGAUCCAUUUUCAAGUCCAAAACAAGUGAUAGAAGGAACCUUCUGAAGCUUGGAGCUUGGAGUCUUGAAGAAACAUCACCCCUUGCAUUCUCACGCCAUUUUCAUCAUCAUUUCUUGUUCACAAGUUCAUCCCUAGCCCUUGUGCUAGUUGGAAUUAAUUGGAUCUGGCAAGUGUUGCAUGUUAGUCAAGCUGCGUACUAAAUAAGGAUGUCAUCCAGGGUUGUGGGGUUUGGGAAGUGUAACUCCUUCCGGGACAAGUUGCAUGUCUCUUAUCCUCGUAUUGUUGGUAGUCUUUCGUUGAGUCUUAUGAACUCAUUUUGAAACAAGUCAUGGUUUGUAAUGUAUUUUGUGGUUAAUGUUUUUAAGACAAUAUGUUAUGCAUUUUCUAAACUAUUUUAAUGGAUGAACAUCACGUACUUUUAUCA